rnacentral:rRNA from 1 species
AUUGAACGCUGGCGGCAUGCCUUACACAUGCAAGUCGAACGGUAACAGGUCUUCGGAUGCUGACGAGUGGCGAACGGGUGAGUAAUACAUCGGAACGUGCCUAGUAGUGGGGGAUAACUACUCGAAAGAGUGGCUAAUACCGCAUGAGAUCUACGGAUGAAAGCAGGGGAUCGCAAGACCUUGUGCUACUAGAGCGGCCGAUGGCAGAUUAGGUAGUUGGUGGGGUAAAGGCUCACCAAGCCAACGAUCUGUAGCUGGUCUGAGAGGACGACCAGCCACACUGGGACUGGGACACGGCCCAGACUCCUACGGGAGGCAGCAGUGGGGAAUUUUGGACAAUGGACGCAAGUCUGAUCCAGCCAUGCCGCGUGCGGGAAGAAGGCCUUCGGGUUGUAAACCGCUUUUGUCAGGGAAGAAACGCUCUGGGUUAAUACCUCGGGGUAAUGACGGUACCUGAAGAAUAAGCACCGGCUAACUACGUGCCAGCCGCCGCGGUAA